AUUGAACGCUGGCGGCAGGCUUAACACAUGCAAGUCGAGCGGGGGAAGGUAGCUUGCUACCGGACCUAGCGGCGGACGGGUGAGUAAUGCUUAGGAAUCUGCCUAUUAGUGGGGGACAACAUCUCGAAAGGGAUGCUAAUACCGCAUACGUCCUACGGGAGAAAGCAGGGGAUCUUCGGACCUUGCGCUAAUAGAUGAGCCUAAGUCGGAUUAGCUAGUUGGUGGGGUAAAGGCCUACCAAGGCGACGAUCUGUAGCGGGUCUGAGAGGAUGAUCCGCCACACUGGGACUGAGACACGGCCCAGACUCCUACGGGAGGCAGCAGUGGGGAAUAUUGGACAAUGGGGGGAACCCUGAUCCAGCCAUGCCGCGUGUGUGAAGAAGGCCUUAUGGUUGUAAAGCACUUUAAGCGAGGAGGAGGCUACUUUAGUUAAUACCUAGAGAUAGUGGACGUUACUCGCAGAAUAAGCACCGGCUAACUCUGUGCCAGCAGCCGCGGUAAUACAGAGGGUGCGAGCGUUAAUCGGAUUUACUGGGCGUAAAGCGUGCGUAGGCGGCUUAUUAAGUCGGAUGUGAAAUCCCCGAGCUUAACUUGGGAAUUGCAUUCGAUACUGGUGAGCUAGAGUAUGGGAGAGGAUGGUAGAAUUCCAGGUGUAGCGGUGAAAUGCGUAGAGAUCUGGAGGAAUACCGAUGGCGAAGGCAGCCAUCUGGCCUAAUA
rnacentral:rRNA from 1 species